GGAUUAGAUACCCUGGUAGUCCACGCCGUAAACGAUGUGCACUAGAUAUUGGAUUGUUGACCGAUUCAGUGUCGUAGCUAACGCAUUAAGUGCACCGCCUGGGAAGUACGGUCGCAAGACUAAAACUCAAAGGAAUUGACGGGGGCCCGCACAAGCGGUGGAUUAUGUGGUUUAAUUCGAAGCAACGCGCAGAACCUUACCUAGGCUUGAAAUCCUGAGAAUCUGCUAGAGAUAGCGGAGUGCCCUUCGGGGAAUUCAGUGACAGGCGCUGCAUGGCUGUCGUCAGCUCGUGCCG
rnacentral:rRNA from 1 species